UACGGAGGGGGCUAGCGUUGUUCGGAAUUACUGGGCGUAAAGCGCGUGUAGGCGGUCCGGUAAGUCCGCUGUGAAAGUCGGGGGCUCAACCCUCGAAUGCCGGUGGAUACUGUCGGGCUAGAGUGCGGAAGAGGCGAGUGGAAUUCCUGGUGUAGCGGUGAAAUGCGCAGAUAUCAGGAGGAACACCUAUUGCGAAGGCAGCUCGCUGGGACGUAACUGACGCUGAGACGCGAAAGCGUGGGGAGCAAACAGG
rnacentral:rRNA from 1 species